rnacentral:sRNA from 1 species
AUAGCCAUCGUUCAUAUAUUAUACUACACCAGGGAAUUCACAUAGGAUGAGAACUCUUCAAAUGAAAUGAUUGUAAGAAUGACUUUAACUGUUGCUCAUUUCUUUUACACCAUCAAAGAAUUAAUACCAAAGAAAGGAAGAUUACAAGGAAACAAAUAGGUCUUGGGACUUUUUUUUUUUUUUUGAGACAGAAUCUUGCUCUGUCACCCAGGCGGAGGUUGCAGUGAGCCAGGAUAGCACCACUGCACUCCAGCCUGGGUAACAGAGCAAGACCCUGUCUCAUAAAUAAAUAAAUACAUAAAGGUGUAAAUAUAUGGAUUCUAGAGUCAAUGAGCAAAGGUAUUGUUGUUACUAAUAGGUGAUUUUGGAAUGAAGAAAAACUGGCCAUAAAAUACAGUUGAAGAUUUGGCUGCAUUUUUGCCUUACGAUUACAUACCUUAAUAAUUACAACUCAAUUGAGGGGUCCAUAUAUAUUCUUUCUCAUUUUCUGGCAGUAAAUCAUAUUCAUCAUAUACGUCCCAAUUUUGCACACACAAAAAAUGAAAAU